GGUCAGGACAGCUGCUCUCUCUCUCUCUCUCUCUCUCUCUCUCUCUCUCUCUCUCACUCUCUGGUGGGCCGAUGUAAUAUGGUAGCGAGCUCCACAGAUUGGGUUCCACUUCCUCUCCCCAAUUUGCUUUGGCAACGGUUUCCGUGGGAAUGGAGCAGACAGUGUUCCCCCGGCGACAGACCCAGAACAAAAAGAAGCUUCGCUUACCUACAGACGUUCAGCGGAGAGAACCAGGCCAACAUGGAAAAGAGAGAGAAACGGGCUCUACUGAUCCACAUCUGGAGAACUCUCCGUGACGUCAGCCCUGUUCUACUGUGAUUAGUAGCACAUGAGGAGCUGGAGAGAGGAGCAGGCUGGGGUCCGCAGCUCUGUCCACGGAAUCUUUAACCAGUAAAUACU